GCAUCGGUCUCGGGGUGUUACAACUCUCCUCCACUAACAGAAGAUCUCAUCCCGAGAUCUUAGGAACGAGACGGAUGAAAAGAGGAUGAGGUGAAACAAGAGCUGAAGAGAGAGGAUGAACAAGGUCGAGAACACUCGAGUAGAAAAGAGGAACGACAACUAUGACGAGAAUCAAAAGCUCAAGGAAUAAGAUAGACUCUGAAACCACUCUGGUUAGAACAAGGUAGAAAAGGAAUAAGAACGAAAGAAUUCAGAUAGCGUUCGGGUAGAAAAGGAAAGCAGAGAUUGGCAAGAAAAAGGACUUCAAAAGAGGACUUGACACUCCGGUAAAAUAGAUAAACAAGGAUUAAACAAGAUGAUGGACGAAAAGAGCAACAUCACGGUGCCUCCGGAACGGAAGAAUAGAAGGUGAAUCAUUGGAAGGAAAAGAAAGGGGAAAAACAACAUACAACUUCCCUCAUAAUUGAAUUGAGAAGCAUCCUUGCAAGGAAUGAUUGAACGGAGUUGUUGGAAACGAAAGAAUAAGCUUGUUGUGGACUUAUUAAAAACAUCUCAAAAAUUUGAGGUGAAAUUUUGCCACAACCAAAAGCUUGAAUAGCUAAGAAGAACGAAGAAAUGCAAAACUCCACUUCAAAAGAAGACACAGAAUUAUUUGCACUCUGAGACACAAGAAGAAAAGAUACUUGCGCUCCUCCAACAAGAAUCUUGAUGAACAAUUGAAGAAUGAACUAACUCCUUGACGAGAAUGAGUUAAAUCCUUAAUGAAUGAUACGUCUCCAACGUAUCUACUUUUUCUCAUGCUUUUCCUCUUGUCUUGGACUCUAAUUUGCAUGAUUUGAAUGAAACUAACCCCGAACUGACGCUGUUUUCAGCAGAACUACCAUGGUGUUGUUUUUGUGCAGAAAUAAAAGUUCUCGGAAUGGAACGAAAUUUGCGAGGAUUUUUUAUAUCAAUAAUAAGAAUUUCUGGAGCCAAGACCCACCAGAGAGGGGCCCCUGGUUGGGAACAACCCACCAGGGCGCGCCCCCCUCUCCUGGCACGCCCAGGUGGUUUGUACCCACCUGGUGGCCCUGCUGACGACCCCCUGAUACUAUAAAAUCACAUUAUUCUAGAAAAAUCAGGGAGAAAGAAUUAUCACGAUCCACGAGACGGAGCCGCCGCCAAGCCCUGUUCUUCCUCGGGAGGGCAGAUCUGGAGUCAGUUUGGGGCUCCGGAGAGGGGGAUAUUCGUUCUUCGUCAUCACCAACCAAUCUCCAUGGCCAAUUCCAUGAUGCUCCCCACUGGUAGUGCGUAAUUCCUUCGUAGGCUUGCUGGUCGGUGAGGAGUUGGAUGAGAUUCAUCAUGUAAUUGAGUUAGUUUUGUUAGGGCUUGAUCCCUAGUAUCCACUGUGUUCUUAGAUUGAUGUUGCUAUGACUUUGCUAUGCUUAAUGCUUAUCACUUUGGGCCCGGGUGCCAUGAACUAAGAUCUGAACCAUUUAUGAAUUCAUCAUUAUAUCCAUGUUUUAGAUCCGAUCUUGCAAGUUAUAGUCACCUACUACGUGUUACGAUCCGAAAACCCCGGAGUGACAACAACCGGGCCCACUCUCAGUGAUGACCGUAGUUUGAGGAGUUCAUGUAUUCACUAUGUGUUAAUGCUUUGUUCCGGUUCUCUAUUAAAAGGAGGCCUUAAUAUCCCUUAGUUUCCAAUAUGGACCCCGCUGCCACGGGAGGGUAGGACAAAAGAUGUCAUGCAAGUUCUUUUAAUAAAGCACGUAUGACUAUUUACGGAAUACAUGCCUACAUUAUAUCGAUGAACUGGAGCUAGUGCCGUAUCGCCCUAGGUUAUAACUGUCACAUGAUGAAUAUCAUCCAACAAGUCACUGAUCCAAUGCCUACGAAUUUAUCCUUAUUGAUCUUGCUGCGUUACUACUGCUAUCAUCACUGUUACACUUGCUACAAAAAUACUGCGAUCACUGUUACUGUUACCGUUGCUACUGUCACUACUAUCAAAACUAUCAAACUACUUUGCUACUGAUCACUUUGCUGCAGAUAAUUAAUCUCCAGGUGUGGUUGAAUUGACAACUUAGCUGCUAAUACCUUCAUAUAUUCUUUGGCGCCCCUUGUGUCGAAUCUAUAAAUUUGGGUUGAAUACUCUACCCUCGAAAACUAUUGCGAUCCCCUAUACUUGUGGGUUAUCAAGACCUUUUUCUGGCGCCAUUGCCGGGGAGCAUAGCUAUAUUUCUUGAGUCACUUGGGAUUAUUAUCAUAUUAUCACUAUGAAGAAUCUGAAGGAUCCAAAGACUAAGAUAUUUCCCUCAAGGACGAGGGGAGGUAAGGAACUGCCAUUCAGUCCCGCUUUAGAUUCACCUUCUGUUAUGAGUAAACUUGCAACACCACCACAUGCUAUCAAUUCUAAUAUGUCGCAAGUUAUUGAUGAUGCUACUUCUGCUAUGGAUAAUUCUUAUGAUUAUGCUAGUACCUUGCUUGAUAAUGAUGAUGUGCCACUUGGUGAUUUUCUUGAUAAACAAAUUGCUAGAGUUAUACAACAUGAUGUUGUUGAAUCUGAUGAUGAGCUUGAAACUGAAACUCCUGAAACACUUGCUAGAACUAGCCUUGAUAGAUAUGAAUUGCCUAAGGUACCGGAAGGUUAUGUUAUGAGUGAAGAAGCAACUAGAGAUAUUCUUGCUUGCAAUGAUAGAGAUGAUCUAGAGAAAUUACUACAAAAGUAUAAAGAAAAAUCUCUGAAUGCUAGAAUGAAAUGUGAUCCUAAGUUUGCUAUUUCACAUAUCUUUAUUGCUGAUAAGGAUUAUGAAUUCUCUGUCGACCCAGAGUUAAUUAAUUUGGUUGAAUCUGAUCCUUUCCAUGGUUAUGAAACUGAAACUGUUGUGGCACAUCUUACUAAUUUGAAUGACAUAGCCACCCUUUUUACUCAUGAUGAGAAAACUCGCUACUACUUUAUUCUCAAAUUAUUUCCUUUCUCAUUAAAGGGUGAUGCUAAAGCUUGGUACAAUACUCUUACUCCUGGUUGUGUGCGUAGUCCCCAGGAUAUGAUUUAUUACUUCUCUAAAAAAUAUUUUCCUGCUCAUAAGAAACAAGCUGCCCUACAGGAAAUAUUUAACUUUGUGCAAACUAAAGAAGAGAGUCUCCCACAAGCUUGGGGGAGGCUUUGCCAGUUACUUAAUGCUUUGCCUGACCAUCCUCUUAAGAAAAAUGAAAUACUUGAUAUCUUCUAUAAUGGACUAACUGAUGCUUCUAGGGACUUCCUAGAUAGUUGUGCUAGUUGUGUUUUCAGGGAACAAACUAUUGCUCAAGCUGAAGAAUUAUUGAAUAACAUAUUGAAAAAUUAUGAUGAUUGGACCCUUCCUGAACCACCGCCUAAACCCACUCCGAAGAAGAGGGGUAUAUUAUAUCUCAGUCCUGAAGAUAUGCAAGAGGCAAAGAAAUCUAUGAAGCAAAAAGGUAUUAAAGCUGAGGAUGUUAAAAUUUUACCUCCUAUUGAAGAAAUACAUGGGCUUAAUACACCACCACUGCCUAAGGUGGUAGAGGUAAAUUCUCUUAUGAAGUUCAAUGAAAAUGAUAAUCCUCACAAUAUGCAUCCUAGUCAAUGCCUUUAUGAGUUUGAAAACUACAUUAGAAAACAAGAUCACUUCAAUGCAAAUGUUAUGAAACAAUUGAAAUAUAAUUCCUAUAUGAUUGCUCGCUUGAGUGACUUGUUAUUUAGAAUAUCAAAUGAUGUUAGAGGUGUUGGAAAACAUGCUUCUAUGGUUCAAACUCAAUUAGAACAAGUUGCUAAAUCACAAAGAGAAUUACUGAUGAAAUGAAUCAUAAUAUGCAUGACUUUUCCGUUAGAGUUGCAACUAGAGGAGGUAAAAUGACUCAGGAACCACUUUAUCCCGAGGGACACCCAAAGAGAAUUGAACAAGAUUCACAAAGAAAUAACACUAGUGCACCUAGUCCUUCUAAAAAGAAAAGGAAGAAGAAAAAUGAUAGGACUUUGCACACUUCUAGUGACCUGAAAUAGAGAAACCUCCUGAUGAUAAUAAUGAAACUUCUAUCUCAGAUGCUGAAACUCAACCUGGUAAUGAACACUCACUUAGUGAUAAUGAAAAAGAUAAUGAUGAGGUUCAAGAAGACACUCAACCAAACAAUGAAAAAGAACCAGAUAAUGAUGUUGAGAUAGAACCACCAGUUGAUCUUGAUAACCCACAACCUAAGAAUAAAAAGUAUGAUAAAAGAGACUUUAUGGCUAGGAAACACGGUAAAGAAAGAGAACCGUGGGUUCAAAAACCUAUGCCUUUUCCACCCAAGUAAACUAAAAAGAAAUAUGAUCAGGAAUUUGAACGCUUUGCUGAAAUGCUGAGGCCAGUCUUUUUGCGUACUCGCUUGACUGAUAUCUUGAAAAUGCCUCCCUAUGCAAAGUAUAUGAAAGACAUCAUCACCAAUAAGAGAAAAAUACCGGAAACUGAAAUCUCCACUAUGCUUGCUAAUUAUACUUUCAAAGAUGGAGUGCCUAAAAAACUUGGAGAUCCGGGAAUACCAACUAUACCUUGCUCUAUCAAAAAGAAUUAUGUGAAAACUGCUUUGUGUGAUUUAGGAGCUGGCGUUAGUGUUAUGCCUUUCUCUUUAUAUAAAAGACUUGACUUGAAUAAACUCACACCUACUGAAAUAUCUUUGCAAAUGGCUGAAAAAUCAACUGCCAUACCUAUCGGUAUUUGUGAGGAUGUGCCCAUUGUUGUUGCUAAUGUUACUAUUUUGACUGACUUUGUUAUACUUGAGAUGCCCGAGGACGACAACAUGUCGAUUAUCCUUGGUAGACCCUUCUUAAAUACUGCAGCGGUUGUUAUUGAUUGCAAUAAAAGCAAGGUCACUUUUCAUAUCAAUGGUAAUGAGCAUACGGUGCACUUUCUGAAGAAACAAUUCCAAGUGAAUGGUAUUAAUGUUAUUGAAAAGUCUCCGACAAUCACUAUUGGAAGUUUUCAAAUACCUUACCUACUGUCAAAAAGAAUAUGAAAUGCUUAUUGUUGGGGAGAUGCAAAUCCCCAUUGAGGUAACUUAGUGAUUUACGAAAGUUCUUCGGUUUCAUGCUAAUCGGAAGUGGUUGUUAAUAAGACCCGAUCAACCUUAUUAAUGAAUCAUUUUUGAGCGGUAUGAAGUUGAUGAAUUUAGUAAGCACUACUUUUUGUCCCUACUUUUUAUUCUCUGUUUUUAUUUGUUAAAUAAAAUAAAUGCCAUGUUUUGUCUGUUUUCUGAAUUUCCCGUGCAAUAAAAAAAUGACCCAAAAAUAAAAGUUCUCAGAAUGCCCUGAAAAAUUUAUACGAUUUUUUCCUGAAUAUUUCUGAAUUUUUCGUGCAAAUAAUACCAGAGGGAGGUGCACCAGGUGGGCACAACCCACCUGGGCGCGCCAGGACCCCUAGGUGGGUUGUGGUCCCCAUGUGGGCCCCCUCACUUACCUCUUCAUCCCACAUCAUCACUUACCUACAGAAAAAAAUCCCCAUUGCUCUCACUCCCGUGUUCUUGAGCUCAAACCCGCAGGUUUUGAUCUCUUUGCUCGAAGCUCCAUUUCCGAAACUGUUUCGGGGAUUGUUGCUUGGUAUGUGACUCCCACCAUUUGUCCAAUUAGUUUUUGUUUUAGUGGUUUAUACUUUGAAUAAAUAGCUACUCUUGGUGCUGCUGUAGAUGUGCUUGCAUGUUCAAUUCUUAGUGUUCUAACUUCUAAGUAGUUUGAAUGCUUGCUAUGGCCUCUAUGUAUCCCUAUGAGUAGUUGCUAUCAAUUUUGUGAAGUUUUGUUGAGAAAAUUUUGUGAACUAAAAAUUUAGAUUUUUGUUCAUAGGAAAAAUUGUACGCGGACAUGAAAAUAUUCAGGAAAUUUUGCUCUAAGAAGACUCCAAGGGUGUUAUUGGGGAGUCUUCUGACAGUGAUCUCCACCCUCGGAGGUUGGCGGAGGUGGUCGUGCGAACCGCACACCCCGUUCCUGCAAGAGGCGGGAAUUCAUGAGGAGUUCAUGCAAUUUAUUGCUAAUGCCAGCCUCACCGACUUCAUCGCAGAUGAGUGUGAACAACACCAAAUUCUCACGAACAUCUUUGUUCAAAGCUUUACAUUCUUGCCUGUAAAUAAUCCUCCUGAAGUGAGCUUUGAUUUAUAUGCUGAAAACCAUCAGAUACCACUUACUGAAUUUUGUGACAUAUGCAUGAUCCCAUCUGAUGGGAGCUUGGCUAAGCCUAGGCCGGCUGAGUUUGAGGAUUUCUAUCGCACUUUUACAGUGGGCGAUGAGAGAAGAGUGUCAGCCAUCACUGCCGGUGGCUUACAUUUUCCUAUUGUCCGUUACUUUGCACUCUUCAUUAACAAAUGCUUGCUUGCUAGGCAGAAGGUGGGUGCACUUAGUUCACCAUACUUUGUUGUUUUACGUCGUGCACUUACGGGCGACAACACGUAUAGCUUGGGAGCUAUCGUGGCUCGUCGCCUGCACCUUAAUAAAUCCCAGGGUAAAAUACAUGGUGGGAUUUUUGCUACUCGGUUGGCGGCUCACUUCGAGGUUGAGAUACGCCCUCAUGAUUACCCUAUGACCAAGGUUUACCUAGACCGAGCAGCCAUGGAUCACCAUCACUUUCUUGCACAUGAUCGUCCUGAUAUUGCCAUUCCUUAUAACCUGGUCUAUAGAAUUGAUACUCGUGAUGUUAUCCCCUUACCUGCACCUACUUUGUUUGAUUCUGUUGCUAGGGUGGAUACAGGAUUAUGCCUGCAGACAUCCUCGCCUACUGGAAUGCUCAUGCUCCUGCAGAGGCUGCUCAGGGACCUCAGCACUGGGAUGUGUGGAUACCCGCUCCUCAGGAUCCCUACUACCAGCCUCCAGGCUACUGAUUGAUUACCAACUUAGGCCAAAAGCCUAAGCUUGGGGGGAGUACGUGUUCUCACCGACAUUACAUUCAUGUUCACAUAUCAUUCUAUUUGUCGGUGCUCACACUUUUUCAUUGUAUCAUCCAUGCUUAGAUUUAUUUUCUUGCUUUCUUCUUGUGUGUUUGAAAAACUUUAGAAACCCCAAAAAAAUUAGUUGUAGUAAUUUACUUUCUAUGCAUGCUUAGUAGUAGUAUUAAAAAGAAAAUCCAAAAAGAUUUCCUUGUUCUUCUUUUCCUUGUUGGGGGCUUUCCCGUGUAAAUAGUUUUUCUCGUUUUUGCUUUUUAUUUGCUUGUUGUAGAAAAUCAAAAACUCCAAAAAUAUUUCAGUAUGUUUCUCUGAAUUUCUUUUCCUUUUAUUCGAGUUGUACCGAGGAGAAGACCACGAUGAAAAUGUUGAGUGGCUCUCAUAUGAAUAACUGUCGAACUAAUAAAGAUCCCAUUUUACCUUGUCUUCUCCUGUUGAAUAAAAUGUUUGCAGAUUCCAGCUUAGUCCACAACACUCUUGCACUAUUAUUAUUUUCAUAUCAUUUGGUCGUGCAAGUGAAAGGCAAUAAUGACGAUAUUCGAUGAACUGGCCAUGGCAAAGAGAGACUGGUAUGAACUCGACUUGUUCUGUUUGUGUAAAUAUGUUUAACCUAGUAUCCAGGCUUCAGCCCAUUAUGAUUAAACAUGUUUGCAAUGACAAUUAGAGAUUAUAGUUUCUCAUGUCAUGCAUAAGUAGCUGGGAGUUGAUAAUGAUUUAUCCUAGAUGUCAACAUAGCGUUAAAAUGAUUGUGAUGUAGUAUGAUGAUAUGGUAUCCUCCUUUGAAUGUUCGACUGGCUUGACUUGGCACAUGUUAAUGCAUGUAGUUGAAUCAAAACCAACAUAGCCUCUAUGAUAUUUAUGUUCAUGGUGUUCAUAUCCUACUCAUGCUAGUGUCCAAUGUUACUUAUGCAUAAUGCCUGGUCAUGAUCGUUGUUGCUCUCUAGCUGGCCGCAUCUCAAUCUUAAUUGCUAGCCUUCGCCUCUACUAAGUGGGAAUUCUGCUUCUACAUCAAAAACCUUGAACCCAAAGUUAUUCCAGAUGAGUCCACCAUACCUACCUAUAUACAGUAUUUCCCUGCCGUCCUAAGUAAAUUUGCAUGUGCCACAUCUAAAAACUUCUAGAAAAUUAUCCGUUUUGUGUGCCUGGAUCGUGCAUGGAAUGACAAGAGGUGGUCGAUAUCUUCCGUGCUAAGCGGGUUAUUCUUAGGUCGAGUGUUUAUGCACUCGCCAUCUCACGAGAAAAUGGGUGGUAAUAGGGAUGCCCAGUCCCAAACUGCAAACAUGAAAAAGAGUUCAUCUCUUGAAUAAUCAAACAAAAACUCCCAAAGGAGUCAAAACCUUUACUUUUACCGCUUGGGAACCGCCACUAGCGUGCUUAGCAUGGAAGAUGUUGAUAACUGAUGGUCGUGAAGUGAAUGAGAAGGGUACAUGUCUCAAAAUAUCAUUUAUCUCUGUUUUAAAAAUUGAGCUCUGGCACCUCUGCAAAUCUCGGCUUCCCUCUGCGAAGGGACUUUCUAUUUACUUUUAUGUUGUGUCACUGAUACAUCUCCAACGUAUCUAUAAUUUUUUAUUGUUCCAUGCUGUUAUAUAUUCUGUUUUGGAUGUUUAAUGGGCUUUACUAAGCACUUUUAUAUUAUUUUUGGGACUAACCUACUAACCCAAGGCCCAGUGCAAAUUGUUGUUUUUUUUGCCUAUUUUAGUGUUUCACAAAAAAGGAAUACCAAACGGCGUCCAAACAGAAUGAAACCUUUGGGGGAGUUAUUUUUGGAACAAACGUGAUCUAGAGGACUUGGAGUGGAUGUCAAGAAAUCAACGAGGAGGCCACGAGGCAGGGAGGCGCGCCUGCCCCCUGGGCGCGCCCCCACCCUCGUGGGCCCCUCGCAGCUCCACCGACCUACUUCUUCCUCCUAUAUAUACCUACGUACCCCGAAAAUAUUCAGGAGCACCACGAAACCCUCCACCGCCGCAACCUUCUGUACCCAUGAGAUCCCAUCUUGGGGCCUUUUCCGACGCUCCACCGGAGGGGGCAUCGAUCAUGGAGGGCUUCUACAUCAACACCAUAGCCUCUCCGAUGAUGUGUGAGUAGUUUACCUCAGACCUUCGGGUCCAUAGUUAUUAGCUAGAUGGCUUCUUCUCUCUCUUUGGAUCUCAAUACAAAGUUCUCCUCGAUCUUCUUGGAGAUCUAUUCGAUGUAACUCUUUUUGUGGUGUGUUUGUCGAGAUCCGAUGAAUUGUGGGUUUAUGAUCAAGAUUAUCUAUGAACAAUAUUUGAAUCUUCUCUGAAUUCUUUUAUGUAUGACCGGUUAUCUUUGCAAGUCUCUUCGAAUUAUCAGUUUGGUUUGGCCUACUAGAUUGAUUUUUCUUGCAAUGGGAGAAGUGCUUAGCUUUGGGUUCAAUCUUGCGUUGCUCGAUUCUAGUGACAGAAGGGGAAACGACGCGUAUUGUAUUGUUGCCAUCGAGGAUAAAAAGAUGGGGUUUAUAUCAUAUUGCUUGAGUUUAUCCCUCUACAUCAUGUCAUCUUGCCUAAUGCAUUACUCUGUUCUUAUGAACUUAAUACUCUAAAUGCAUGCUGGAUAGCGGUCGACGCGUGGAGUAAUAGUAGUAGAUGCAGGCAGGAGUCAGUCUACUUGUUGCGGACGUGAUGCCUAUAUACAUGAUCAUGCCUAGAUAUUCUCAUAACUAUGCACUAUUCUAUCAAUUGCUCGACAGUAAUUUGUUCACCCACCGUAAUACUUAUGCUAUCUUGAGAGAAGCCACUAGUGAAACCUAUAGCCCCCGGGUCUAUCUUCCAUAAUAUUAAUCUCCCGUGAACUAGCUAUUUAUGUCGCCGUUUAUUUUGCAAUCUUUACUUUUAAUCUUUAUCAUAAAAAUACAAAAAAAUAUCUUAUCAUCUCUAUCAGAUAUCACUUUUGCAAGUGGCCAUGAAGGGAUUGACAACCCCUUUAUCGCGGUUGGUUGCAUGGUUCUUAUUUGUUUGUGUAGGUACGAGGGACUUGCGUGUGGCCUCCUACUGGAUUGAUACCUUGGUUCUCAAAAACUAAGGGAAAUACUUACGCUACUUUGCUGCAUCACCCUUUCCUCUUCAAGGGAAAACCAACGCAUGCUCAAGAGGUAGCAAGAAGGAUUUCUGGCGCCGUUGCCGGGGAGGCUUACACCAAGUCAAGUCAAGAUUUGAUCUCCCGACAACGAGCCAUUUCUGGCAUCGUUGUCGGGGAGUCUACGCACAAAUCAAGACAUACCAAGUACCCAUCACAAACUCUUAUCCCUCGCAUUACAUUGUUUGCCAUUUGCCUCUCGUUUUCCUCUCCCCCACUUCACCUUUGCCUUUUCUUUGCCUUCUUCCCGUAUGUCUUUUUGCUUGUGUUUCCAUGUGCCUUCUAUUUGCUUGCAUCUUUGCUUGCUAAAAAUCUAUUGAUAUGGAUCCACUUAAAGUGUUCUACUUGGAUCAUCUUCGAUCCUUAUGCGCUCGUGCUGAAACCCCAACUAGCCUAGUUGAUGGGAAAUCUUUAGAUGAGCAUGCUCAUUUCGUGCGUCAUCGUUUGUCUGAAAAGGGGAAGCUCUUAUGGUAUCAAAUAAAUAGUUUGCUUUGCUAUGCUUGGAAUCUUUGUGAAGUUUAUGAUUUUACUUGUUGCUCUAAGAACCCUAAAAAACACCUUCCCUACCUAUGUGAGUAUAAUGAUAAUGAAAUCUUAUCUUCUUAUGGAAAGGGUGUUUAUAGUUACUAUGAUAUCGAACAAAUUGAAGAAUUUGUCCUUUUUAAGGGUGCUCAUGAAGUUGCUUCUUUGAUUGAAAAGUAUGAUAUUACUCUCUACAAAUUUGAAAAUUCUGACAUACUUAAAUAUUGCUAUGAAAACUAUGCUCAUAAUGCCUAUGUUAAGGAAUUUAUUGAGAGAAUGACCAUUGCUUUGGAAGAAAAUAAUGAUAUACACGAAUCUAUAGAUAAUUAUGAUUCCGAUGAUUUGAUUGAAAUAUACCUUGAUGAACAUGAUGCUUGCUAUUCUUAUGGCCAUGAUGCCAAUAUUUAUGGAGAUGAAUUUGCUAUAGUUCCUUAUGUUAAACAUGAGAUUAUUGCUAAUGCACCCAUACUUGAUAGCUCCUUGAAUCAAAAGCAUGAUUGCAAAGAUUUUACUAUAAAUUCUCUUGAUGUCAGUUAUGCUAAUAAUAUGCAAAACCCUAAGCUUGGGGAUGCUAGUUUUGCUAUGUCUACUACUUGUUGCAAUGAUCAUGAUUGGGGUGAUUGUUCUUAUGAUCUUGAAAAUUUAUUUAAGCCCCAUGAUGAAUCUGAGAUUGAUAAUAGUGUUUGCAAUAAUAUUGAAAGUGGUUUGGAAGAGUGUCAACUUUAUAUCCCACAUUUUUGGAGAAUGUUCAAUCUUAUGGUAUCUUUGAUAAAAGUGGGUUUGGAGAGGUCAUGACUUUAGUUAAUGUUGAUUCCACUAUUUUGGAAGAGUGUCAACUUCACAUGCAUGUGGAUCGUGUUGAGAAUAUGUUUUGUGAUAGCUAUAUUGUUGAAUUUGCUUAUGAUCCUACAUGUAAUUAUUAUGAUAGAGGAAAAUAUGUGUGUAGAAAUUUUCAUGUUACUAAAUUACCCGUCAUUAUGUUGAGAUUGCUAUUGUUUCUUUCCGCUUCCUUGCAUAUGCUAGUUUUUGCUUUCCUUGAUAAUUUGUUUGCCGAUAAGAUGCCUAUGCAUAGGAAGUAUGUUAGACUUAGAUGUGUUUUUCAUAUACUAUAUUAUGCUCUCUUUGUGCUUCAAUUCUUGUCUUUCAUGUGAGCAUCAUCAAAAUUAUCAAUGCCUAGCUAGGGGCGUUAAACGAUAGCGCUUGUUGGGAGGCAACCCAAUUUUAUUUUUGUUUCUUGCUUUUUGGUUCUGUUUAGUAAUAAAUAUUUGAUCUAGCCUCUGGUUAGAUGUGGUUUUAUGUUUUAAUUAGUGUUUGUGCCAAGUAGAACCUAUAUGAUCUUCUUGAAUGAUAGUUAUUUGAUCUUGCUGAAAAAGUCAGAAACUUUCUGCUCAUGAAAACAAUUGUUAAAAAUCACCAGAACGUGAUAAAAUACUGAUUCCAAUUGCAGUAGAUCAAUAAACAAAUUAUCUAGGUUUUAAUAUUUUGGUAGAUUUUUUGAGUUACAUAAGUUUGCGUUAGAUACAGAUUACUACAGACUGUUCUAUUUUUGAUAGAUUCUGUUUUUCGUGUGUUGUUUGCUUAUUUUGAUGAAUCUAUGGCUAGUAUCAGAGGUUAUGAACCAUAGAGAAGUUAGAACACAGUAGGUUUAACACCAAUAUAAAUAAAGAAUGAGUUCAUUACAGUACCUUGAAGUGGUUGUUUUGUUUUCUUUCGCUAACGGAGCUCAUGAGAUUUUCUGUUAAGUUUUGUGUUGUGAAGUUUUCCAGUUUUGGGUAAAGAUUUGAUGGAUUAUGGAACAAGGAGUGGCAAGAGCCUAAGCUUGGGGAUGCCCAAGGCACCCCAAGGUAAAAUCCAAGGACAACCAAAAAGCCUAAGCUUGGGGAUGCCCCGGAAGGCAUCCCCUCUUUUGUCUUCGUCCAUCGGUAACUUUACUUGGAGCUAUAUUUUUAUUCACCACAUGAUAUGUGUUUUGCUUGGAGCGUGUUGUAUGAUUUGAGUCUUUGCUUUUUAGUUCACCACAAUAAUCCUUGUUGUACACACCUUUUUGAGAGACACACAUGAAUCGAAAUUUAUUAGAAUACUCUAUGUGCUUCACUUAUAUCUUUUGAGCUAGAUAAUUUUGCUCUAGUGCUUCGCUUAUAUCUUUUUAGAGCACGGUGGUGGUUUAUUUUAUAGAAAUUAUUGAUCUCUCAUGCUUCACUUAUAUUAUUUUGAGAGUCUUUUAGAACAUCAUGGUAAUAUAAGUGAAGCAUGAUGUUCUAAAAGACUCUCAAAAUAAUAUAAGUGAAGCAUGAGAGAUCAAUAAUUUAUAUAAAUUAAACCACCACCGUGCUCUAAAAAGAUAUAAGCGAAGCACUAGAGCAAAAUUAUCUAGCUCAAAAGAUAUAAGUGAAGCACAUAGAGUAUUCUAAUAAAUUUCGAUUCAUGUGUGUCUCUCAAAAAGGUGUGUACAGCAAGGAUUAUUGUGGUGAACUAAAAAGCAAAGACUCAAAUCAUACAACACGCUCCAAGCAAAACACAUAUCAUGUGGUGAAUAAAAAUAUAGCUCCAAGUAAAGUUACCGAUGGACGAAGACAAAAGAGGGGAUGCCUUCCGGGGCAUCCCCAAGCUUAGGCUUUUUGGUUGUCCUUGGAUUUUACCUUGGGGUGCCUUGGGCAUCCCCAAGCUUAGGCUCUUGCCACUCCUUGUUCCAUAAUCCAUCAAAUCUUUACCCAAAACUGGAAAACUUCACAACACAAAACUUAACAGAAAAUCUCAUGAGCUCCGUUAGCGAAAGAAAACAAACCACCACUUUAAGGUACUGUAAUGAACUCAUUAUUUAUUUAUAUUGGUGUUAAACCUACUGUAUUCCAACUUCUCUAUGGUUCAUACCCCCCGAUACUAGCCAUAGAUUCAUCAAAAUAAGCAAACAACACACGAAAGACAGAAUCUGUCAAAACAGAACAGUCUGUAGUAAUGUGUAUCAAACGUAUACUUCUGAAACUCCAAUAAUUCUGAAAUAAAUUGGUGGACGUGAGGAAUUUAUCUAAUAAUCAUCUUAAAAAAUAAUCAACCUAAAAUCACUCUCCAAUAAAAAAUUGCAUCUAUUCUCGUGAACGCAAAAGUUUCUGUUUUUUACAGCAAGAUUGCAAAGACUUCACCCACAUCUUCCCAAAGGUUCUACUUGGCACAAACACUAACUAAAACAUAAAACCACAUCUAACCAGAGGCUAGAUGAAUUAUUGAUAACUAAACAGAACCUAAAAAGCAAAAGCAAAAAUAAAAUUGGGUUGCCUCCCAACAAGCGCUUUUCUUUAAAGCCUUUUUAGCUAGGCAUUGAUAAUUUUAAUGAUGCUCACAUGAAAGACAAGAAUUGAAGCACAAAGAGAGCAUCAUAAAACACGUGAUAAACACAUCUAAGUCUAACAUACUUCCUAUGCAUAGGCAUUUUAUAAGCAAACAAAUUAUCAUAGCAAACAAAAAUUAGCAUAUGCAAGGAAGAAGAAAGAGAUGAUAGCAAUCUCAACAUGACGAGAGGUAAUUUAGUAAGAUAAAAAUUUCUACAACCAUAUUUUCCUCUCUCAUAAUAAUUGCAUGUAGGAUCAUAUGCAAAUUCAACAAAAUAGCUAUCACAUAACAUAUUCUCCACACGAUCUACAUGCAUGCGAAGUUGACACUCUUCCAAAAUAGUGGGAUUAUCAUUAACUAAAGUCAUGACCUCUCCAAACCCACUUUUAUCAAAAAUACCAUAAGAUUGAACAUUCUCCAAAUAUGUGGGAUUUAAAGUUGACACUCUUCCAAACUCACUUUCAAUAUUAUUGCAAACACAAUUAUCAAUCUCAUAUUCAUCAUGGGGCUUAAAUAAAUUUUCAAGAUCAUAAGAAUAAUCACCCCAAUCAUGAUCAUUGCAACAAGUAGUAGACAUAGCAAAACUAGCAUCCCCGAGCUUAGGGUUUUGCAUAUUAUUAACACAAUUGACAUCAGGAGAAUUUAUAGUAAAAUUAUUGCAAUCAUGCUUUUUAUUCAAGGAGCUAUCGUGAAUCUCUUCAUAAAUUUCUUCAUCACAAUUUUCAGAUUCACGAAUUUCAAGCAAAACCUCAUAAAGAUAAUCUAGUGCACUCAAAUCACUAGAAAUUGGUUCAUCAUAAUUGGAUCUCUUAAAAAGAUUAGCAAGGGGAUGAGGAUCCAUAAACUUUUAGCAAGCGAAGAUGCAAGCAAAAAGAAGGCACAUGGUAACACAAGAUCGAACGGAAGGAGGGCGAAGAAAAGGCAAAGGUUUUUGAAAAUCGUUUUAGAAGUGGGGGAGAGGAAAACGAGAGGCGAAUGGCAAAUAAUGUAAUGCGAGGGAGAAGAGUUUGUGAUGGGUACUUGGUAUGUCUUGACUUGAGCGUAUAUCUCCCCGGCAACGACGCCAGAAAUCCUUCUUGGUACCUCUUAAGCAUGCGUUGGUUUUCCCUUGAAGAGGAAAGGGUGAUGCAGCAAAGUAGCGUAAGUAUUUCCCUCAUUUUUUGAUAACCAAGGUAUCAAUCCAGUAGGAGACUACAUGCAAAUCGCCUAGUACCUGCACAAACAAUUAGGAACCUUGCAACCAACGCGAUAAAGGGAUUGUCAAUCCCUUCACGGCCACUUGCAAAAGUGUGAUCUGAUAGAGAUAAUAAGAUAAUAUUUUUGGUAUUUUUGUUGUAUCGAUUGAAAAGUAAUGAUUGCAAAAUAAACGGCGAUAGAAAUAGCUAGUUGAUAGGAAAAUAAUAUGAUGGAAAAUAGACCCGGGGGCCAUAGGUAUCACUAGUGGCUUCUCUCAAGAUAACAUAUUUUACAGUGGGUGAACAAAUUACUGCCGAGCAAUUGAUAGAAAAGCGCAUAGUUAUGAGAAUAUCUAGGCAUGAUCAUGAACAUAGGCAUCACGCCCGUGAAAAGUAGACCGAAAUGAUUCUGCAUCUACUACUAUUACUCCACACAUCGACCGCUAUCCAGCAUGCAUCUAGAGUAUUAAGUUCAUAAGAAGAGAGUAACGCAUUAGGCAAGAUGACAUGAUCUAGAGGGAUAAACUCAAGCAAUAUGAUAUAAACCCCAUCUCUUUAUCCUCGAUGGCAACAAUACAAUACGUGCCUUGCUGCCCCUGCUGUCACUGGGAAAGGACACCGCAAGAUUGAACCCAAAGCUAAGCGCUUCUCCCAUUGCAAGAAAGAUCAAUCUAGUAGACCAAAGUAAACCGAUAAUUCAAAGAGACUUGCAAAGAUAUCAAAUCAUGCAUAUAAGAAUUCAGAGAAGAACCAAAUAUUGUUCAUAGAUAAUCUUGAUCAUAAACCCACAAUUCAUCGGAUCUCGACAAACACAUCGCAAAAAGUAUUACAUCGAAUAGAUCUCCAAGAAGAUCGAGGAGAACUUUGUAUUGAGAUCCAAAGAGAGAGAAGAAGCCAUCUAGCUAAUAACUAUGGACCCGAAGGUCUGCGGUAAACUACUCACACAUCAUCGGAGAGGCUAUGGUGUUGAUGUAGAAGCCCUCCGUGAUCGAAUCCCGCUCCGGCGGAGCGCCGGAAAAGGCCCCAAGAUGGGAUCUCACGGGUACAGAAGGUUGCGGCGGUGGAAAAUAGGUUUCGUGGCUCCCCUGGAUGUUUUCAGGGUAUAAGAAUAUAUAUAGGCGAAAGAAGUAGGUCGGUGGAGCUGCGAGGGGCCCACGAGGGUGGGUGGCGCGCCUCCCUGCCUCGUAGCCUCCUCGCUGCUUUCUUGACUUCCACUCCAAGUCUCCUGGAUUGCGUUUGUUCCAAAAAUGAUCCUCGCGAAGGUUUCAUUCCGCUUGAAUUCUGUUUGAUAUUCCUUUUCUGUGAAACACUGAAAUAGGCAAAAAAACAGCAAUUUGCACUGGGCCUUUGUUUAAUAGGUUAGUCCCAAAAAUAAUAUAAAAGUGCAUAAUAAAGUCCAUUAAACAUCCAAAACAGAUAAUAUAAUAGCAUGGAACAAUAAAAAAUUAUAGAUACGUUGGAGACGUAUCAAGCAUCCCCAAGCUUAAUUCCUGCUCGUCCUCGAGUAGGUAAAUGAUAAAAAUAGAUUCUUUGAUGUGGAAUGCUACCUAACAUAAUUUUCAAUGUAAUUCUCUUUAUUGUGGCAUGAAUGUUUAGAUCCAAAAGAUUCUAGACAAAGUUUUAUUAUUGACAUAAAAAUAGUAAUACUUCAAGCAUGCUGACCAAGCAAUUAUGUCGAUAACCAUGGUUUCUUCAGUGAGGGAAAUACCUACCGUCGCUGUGCUACAUCAUCCCUUCCUCUUUGGGGAAAUACCGACGUAGUCCUAGUAGACAGGAGCUUGUCUGGCGCUAUAGUCAGAGAGCAAUCAACGGUCAUCUUGCCUGAAAUCUCGCUAGGAAGAAGAUCGAGACCAUGAAGAAGGCGAACGGGCAUAGUCAAACGAAUCCUCACAAUCGCAAUGAAGCCGGGACUAUCGAAAGGAAGCAUAAUCGGAAAUAAGCAAACAACAUGGUAAACAACCAUCACAUAAAUAUGGCAUGAUGCACAAUAAAGUAUGAUGCAUGUCCAGUUUAAUGAUUCAUGGCAUGGCAUGGCAAAGUGCAACAAACGAUACUACAAAUUAAGUGGAGCUCAAUAUGCAAUGAGUUGCAUAUUGACAGAACACCACAUUCAAAUAUUUAGUUCACUCUUGUUUAUGUACCCAACAAUAUUAAAUGUUGCUAAACAUGGCAAGAGGAGCAUACAUGAACUAUCUAUCUAGGCAAGUUUAAAUGAGGCCGGAACAACAAACAACAAAUCCGGAAAAUCCUCAUAAGCACAUUUAAAAUUUGGUACUGUUCUUCCCUAAACCACAAUUUCAAUGUUAUUAAACAGAAAAUAAAGUGCAACAUGUUAAUCUAUGCAUUUUUCUACCCCAUUUACAUGUAAAGUUUAUUUAAUUCGGAGCUACGAUUCUUUAGUUAUGAAGUAAACCAUUUUAACAUGUCAUUAUGCAAAUUAGAUGCAAACAUCUAUUUAAACAUUUCAAACAUUGAUGAAAGUUGCAUAUUAUGAAAGUACAUGAAAUUCUAGGCAUUUUACAUAUAUACCAUGUUUCAUUUGGAUGUAUGGAUAUUUAGCUAUUAACAAUUCAAAAUGAUGGCAGUUAUGUAAAUAUGAUUGCACUGGAAAAUGAUGAAACCAUAGAGCAGGAAAAAAAUGCUUGGGCCGGAAGCAGCACGGUGCCGUGGCCCAGAUGAGGAUUCGGCGCAAGUGGCUGUGUGCAAAAGUAAUGGAAAACAGGGCAAAAACUGGAGCAUCGGUCUCGGGGCGUUACAACUCUCCUCCACUAACAGAAGAUCUCGUCCCGAGAUCUUAGGAACGAGACGGAUGAAAAGAGGAUGAGGUGAAAGAAGAGCUGAAGAGAGAGGAUGAACAAGGUCGAGAACACUCGAGUAGAAAAGAGGAAUGACGAAUAUGACGAGAAUCAAAAGCUCAAGGAAUAAGAUAGACUCUGAAACCACUCUGGUUAGAACAAGGUAGAAAAGGAAUAAGAACGAAAGAAUUCGGAUAGCGUUCGGGUAGAAAAGGAAAGCAGAGAUUGGCAAGAAAAAGGACUUCAAAAGAGGACAUGACACUUCGGUAAAAUGGAUAAACAAGGAUUAAACAAGAUGAUGGACGAAAAGAGCAACAUCACGGUGCCUCCGGAACGGAAGAAUAGAAGGUGAAUCAUUGGAAGGAAAAGAAAGGGGAAAAACA
rnacentral:lncRNA from 1 species